UACGGAGGGGGCUAGCGUUGUUCGGAAUUACUGGGCGUAAAGCGUGCGCAGGCGGUCUUGCAAGACAGGUGUGAAAUCCCCGGGCUUAACCUGGGAACUGCACUUGUGACUGCAAGGCUGGAGUACGGCAGAGGGGGAUGGAAUUCCGCGUGUAGCAGUGAAAUGCGUAGAUAUGCGGAGGAACACCGAUGGCGAAGGCAAUCCCCUGGACCUGUACUGACGCUCAUGCACGAAAGCGUGGGGAGCAAACAGG
rnacentral:rRNA from 1 species